UAUAGAAAUGACUUCAAAUCAGAUUCUUGCAGGAACUCUGUCCCUGCAGGAACACCAACAAAACACAUUUUCCAACUCUUCCUAAUCAAUCACACCUGAAUCAACUCAUCAGCUCGUUAGCAGAGACUCCAAAACUAGAUAUAUAUGGGUCAGAUAAGAAGGACUUCCAGGAUGUGCAAUGUUGGUUUGGCUCCUGGAACAGGGAUCUCUUGGUUUGAGCUGCUGGAGGUCAUGAGGAAAAGCAGUGAGUGACUUUGCAUGGAGUAUUUUGAGAGGAGCAACUGCUGAACUGUUAUACAUCUGACCUUUUUCCCGACUCAACCUGUUUCUGUUUUGAACUGGCAUGUUUUUGACAAUGAUCCACUCCAGUUUGUGUUCAAUAAAAUGGUAAAUGUGA